AUCUCGUACUGCGUUGAAAUGGCAUAUUGUUUUUAUUUCUUUGUUGCCUGAACUGGUAUUAUGUAACUUGUGUAGUGAUCUCCAUGGUAACAUAGAGUGUAGUGUCUUGACAACCAUAUUAUUCAUGUGUAUGAAGAAGUCUGUGGUACACUGUAAAUGCUGUAUUUAUUCUAAUGUAUUACAAUGUAUCUACAAAGAUUUAAUGAGAAUUGUGGAGUGGAGAAUUUGUUAGAAAGGAGGUAAUUUUAUGAGACUAAAUACAGAAUUUUAUUAUCACCAUUAUUUUACCUAUAUGUUACCUAUAGUAUUAAUUCUAAUUGUACAAAGCGGUAAUUUAUAGUGGUAAAAAUCUAUGGAAUCAUAUCAGACAGAUUGUGAUUAUGUCAAAUUUGUAUUAAUACAGUUUAAAAUCCACUCAAUAUCUCAUAACCAAGAAAUCCCAGUUUGUGGUUUACUCUGUGUAGGGCAACUGUACCUUCAAGAAAUCCGUGCUCAUUGUUAAUACAGGUAUACACCUGUCAUCAUGUGACAAAAGUAUUGUUUUAAGAUAGAAGUGAAAUGAAGAUGACACCUUCUGAAUCAUAACGAGAGAUGUGUUUCAGUGGCUGGAGAAAACUUUGGUCACUUCUGACCUUAGACCUUCAGAUCUGGUGACUUCAUGUUGUGUUCAUGCUGUAGUACCAUAUUUACCCUCAAAUAAGCCCCUGUCUAGAAUUUAGCCCCCUCUUCAUUUUUGCGUAACCAUCAAUUUUAAAAUGAAUUAAAUGUAAGGUAAAAGUGGUUCACAUAUAAGUCUUCCUGAAACUUUAAUGCUAAACUUUUAUAACCGUGCAUGUAGGGAGGAGACUUAUUUCAGGAUAAAUUCUGUACUACGUACCUAUAAUCCUCACACCUAGCGGCCACAUUGUCUUAUUCUUCAAAAUAUUCCAUCCAAUAUAUUCUGUCAGGUAAACAUGUCAUUAGAGUAAGUGUUGUGUUCACAUGUACAUACAGAAAUAAGUAAUUAAAUCUAUUUAUUUUGUCAGAGAUGUUGAAAUUGAUUCCGUUAUCAUUUAGAAAUCCAUUCUGAUAGUAAAUUCUGUGUAUGUAAUAUAUAUGUUAACAGUCAGUGUGAUUUAUGUUUCUGUGUUUGAAAUAUUAAUUAAAACUCAAAAUCCGCAACAUUUAAAAAAAACAAAAAAAAAAACAGCAGUAAUUUGGACAACUACAAAUAUUCUACCUAUUACAAGCUUUUGUUUUAUGGGUAAUAAUCGAUAUCAACAUAUGAGUCUUUUCUUCGUUUUGAAGUAAUUUUGGUGCCAUUUUGUUUUCUUGCAAUGAGGGAGAAUGUGAGAUAUGAAUUCAGUAAAUUGAAAUGUUAAUAGAUUGACAGUAAUACAUGAAUUCUUCAACUUCACCAUUUUCAAAAGUUUCUCAAUUAUUAGUUCAGUAUAUGAGGAAAUAUUUACACCAAUGUGCAUCUAAGAUGGCCAUCACAGUCUCGAUCUAAUUAGAAUUAGACUUGUAAUUUCCAUUCCUCUACGAUACUCUAUGAUACUCUACGAUACACUGCAAUCCCUAUACAAGAUCUUGUAUUGCAGUGUAUCGUAGAAGAGCAGAAAUUACAAGUCUAAUUUUAAUUAGAUUGUCACAGUCCCUGAUUGGUUGAUAUUUAUUGAUGGUCUGAUUUUGUAUGUACAUUUUAGAUGUACAUUGUAUUACCACAUGGGACUUACAUACAUUUACUGCGUGCAGGGUUAGUUGGGGGACUUGUGCAGGGUGAUAUUAUUCGUUUAAGAAUGCCUUAUCACGGGACACAAAUAUAACUUUGUUGAAAAUAAUUUCAGGAAACAUCUUUUUAAGCAUGGCUAUUUACUGUAUAAAAACUAGAAAAUUUAAUCAUGGUCAAAGCUGUUUACAGGGUCAAGUUGACACUUAAUUGUUAGCAAUUUAAGAAGUUAAAAUACUACUUCUCAGAAAUCCAGAGUCAAGACAUCUCAGAUAGAUGAUUCAUGUAACUCUUUCAUCCCCAGAGUCACAUCUAAUUUGGGGAUUAAAAAACGUCUACUGAAAACCCUGUAUAAUCAAUUUUUCACUUAUCUAAACACCUUUGGUUAUGGCAGUAGAGUUUGUAUUUUCUCUUCGCUACAGAGGGCAGGCUUUUUUAUUCCAUUCUUCACAACAACCAGGGUAUGACUGUGUUGAAUUUUAGAAAAAGAAACUAGAGAAUAUAGAAAAUUAAAAAAAACAGGAUUGAUUUAAAAUAAAAAAUGUUAUCGGUAGUAUUAUAUUGUGAAAGAUGACCAAUUAUGCUGUAAAAUUAAUCGCGGUGAAAUAAUUCCAAUCACAGUUACGGUAGGCCAAAUAAGUUGGUUAACAGUGUAAUGCAAUAUCUGGUAAGUUGAUAAUGGAAAGUGUAGGCUACGAUCAAGCAGUAUGUAUAUACAUGUAGUCUGUAUGAGCUUGACCAUAAGUAGGCACCUGGCUGGAUAUCAGGUGCGGAGUGAGCUAUUACAAACACCUAGCCUAGAAAAGACAGGUUGUCACAUAUACUCACAAAAUACAAGUAACGAUUAAUUCUGUUGAAUAGAAAAAUUAAGGCAUUGGUAAAACUAUCAUAAGUAGAGUCACACACCAAAAUUGAUUCUCUACAAUUGAUUUAACACCGUAUAACAUUUCCUGCUACUUUUGGAGAUAUAUAUACACUAUAAGCUUUCCCUUAGCAUCAGGAUUUGAAAGCAAGACCUAAUUCUAAACUUUUUAUUUUUAUUUCUACACAAUAAGAAUGAUGUUAUGUUGUUAUUUAAUGAUAUGUAUAUAUCGGGUAAAAACACAGUUAUGGGUACUUUGUUUCAUUUACAUUUUACAUUAACAUUUUUAUAUAAAUCGGUGGUACAAUAUUAUGUGAAUUUUCAGUCUCAUAUUUGAAAUACAGCUGGCUAUUAUUCAGCAUGUCACCAAAUGGGUAUUUUUGGCUUUAUUUUUUUAAUUUAAAAUCUAAUAAAUCUGUUUCUGCAAUUUGGUGAUUGUCAUCAUACUACUGAUAAUGAAAUAUUCGUCAAAGUUUCUGAUGAAAAAACAUCAUUAUUAGUUUUCACAAAAUCACUUGAUCUAAGAGUUUUGUGCUUGUGUGUUUAAUAAAAUGCAAAAAAAAAAAAAAUCAUAAUCAAGUCAAUCAGAUCAUAGCAACAGCAUGGUUCCAUCUCCAUUGGGCAGAUGUCAUAGUUAUACAUGUGAGUUAUUAGAACAUUAUAAAUUUAUCAUAUAUUUCCAUAAAACUAAAUCGCCUGUAUAUGUACGUGAUGUAUAUUUUGAAAUGUGGUUAGUAUUUAAUUUAUGCAAGACUGAAUUUGGUUGUUAUGUGUUCAGUAGUUCCCCUGUACAGGGGUCAGUUCCUGUUAUAAGAGAAUCAUUUCAUUCUCUUUAAUACCCGGUACUAACUUUCAUAGCUGUAAUACAAAUGAUGCUUUUGUAAGAAUCUAAAUUCAAGAAAGCAACUAUCACUGACACUAUCUAUGUUUUGUUUCAUUCAGGAGUUCCUUAUCUUAUAACAUCAAAUAGACUUACAAUAAAUUCUCAAUAUUGCAAUACAUUUUGUGAGAAAUACUCUAUGUAUAUUGGGCAAUAUCAAAUGAGUGUUGUAAAAUUUUGUACGUUUUCAUUUGGUUGUAUAAUUAUCUGAUGGAUAGAUGCAAUAUCAACUCUGAUUGGUUGGUGGAUAUAGAAUUAAUUUGAUUUGAUUGGUUGACAUGUUCGAUUAAGAUUGGUUAAAACUUUAUUUCUUUAGUUGACUAUAUUCAAUUCUGAGUGUGUGUAGGUGUAAUAUUUAUUUGAUAAGUUGACUUGAGUUGUACUCUUGAUUGGUUGGUAGGUAUACUAUCUGAUUGGUUGACUGAGUUAUACUCUGAUUGGUUGGUAGGUAUACUAUCCGAUUGGUUGACUGAGUUAUACUCUGAUUGGUUGACUAAGUUAUACUCUGAUUGGUUGGUAGGUAUACUAUCUGAUUGGUUGACUAAGUUACACUCUGAUUGGUUGGUAGGUACAUGUAUACUAUCUGAUUGGUUGACUGAGUUAUACUCUGAUUGGUUGGUAGGUAUAAUAUCUGAUUGGUUGACUGAGUUAUACUCUGAUUGGUUGGUAGGUAUACCAUCUGAUUGGUUGACUGAGUUAUACUCUGAUUGGUUGUUAGGUAUACCAUCUGAUUGGUUGACUGAGUUAUACUCUGAUUGGUUGGUAGGUAUACCAUCUGAUUGGUUGACUGAGUUAUACUCUGAUUGGUUGAUAGGUAUACCAUCUGAUUGGUUGACUGAGUUAUACUCUGGUUGUUAGGUAUACUAUCUGAUUGGUUGACUGAGUUAUACUCUGAUUGGUUGAUAGAAGAUUUAUCUUAUUUGUUGACAUGUUCAAUUCAGAUUCGAUUUGGUUAAAAGUUUAUUUCAUUAGUUGACUCGUUCAACUCUCAUUGGUUGGUUUUUUGGUAAGUUGGUUGAUUAAUAGGUUUGAUAUUUACCUGACUGGUAGAAAUACAAUUUAAAUGAUUGGUUGGUAGAUAUAUGAUUUAAAUUAUUGAUUGCCAAAGUUUAAUUCUGAUUCGCUGCAGGUACAUUUGUUAAGUAUUUAUCCGUUUGGUUGACUAAGUUCUACUGUGUAUGUAGGUAUUAUCAGGUAUAAACUUUCCUGUCAGUGUGUUUAUAUUCAUGCUGUAACAGUUAGUGAUUUUAUUAUCAUAACAAUUAAUAUUUCUUUCUUUUUGUCUUGUAAUGAAAACAAACUUUCAUUCAUAAGAAUUCUUAGUCACACAGUCCAGAUUUCAAUAUACUGGAGUUGACCUAUACAGGGUGGUUAGAGUGCAAUAUGUUGUAGUGUAAUACAGUUAUACGAGAUAUUCUGUCAACACAAACAUCACUACUGUAACAGUAGUAUUUUGAAUAUUAGAAUCAUUAAUUAGUAACUCUAGUUUGGAGGGAGAUUCCUUAUUGUCUACCCUAAAUUAUCAGACAUUAAUUAUCAGGAAAACUUCCUAAUUAUCUAAAAUUUCAAACUGGGUUUGAAAUUUCAGACAUUCACUUUCACCCCAUGUGGAAAUUUUUAAAAGUCAGAAAGUAUGUUAUGGUAUCUUUAUAAAUUGUUGUCUUGUCUCCCUUGGUUUGAUUGUAUUUAAUACACUACCACAUUCACAGCGGUAUAUCAAUUAGGAGUCACUUUAUUUUGAAAUGCUAAGAGUUUAGGUAUAUUUAUUUUGUCAUGUACUGAUCAAACUGGCAAAUGUUACUUUCAUCUACACUAUAACACCCCAUCAUGCUUGUAAAAACUCAAUGUCAAAAUAUUUUAAACAUCUGUCUUAUUAAAUUAGUGUAACUUAACAUACAAAUAGUGCAUAUGAAAUGAAUGAGAUUAAAAUUAUAGAUGGCACAUGGAAGAUGAUGCUUGGUAGCCUGUAUACACUGGCACUGCAUAAUAGCUAAUUGAUCUAACUCAAUGAAACAUUUUAAAACAGAUCAAUAUACUUGUAUGCUUCUUCUAUCAUAACAUUGUAUGUACGUGACAAAAAUAUCCUAUAUGUACCUAUAUUGUCAAGCACAUGCCAGGUGUACUCAGUUGAAAAAUAUAUUGUUUCAUUCUUACAAUUUAUGUAGUAAAAUUAUCAUUAUUACAGUUUAGAUUUAGUUCAAAUCUACAUAGUGAUAAAUUAAUACAUUUGAGAUAGUAUUGCCAGGGGCAAUGAACAAUCUGUAAUAUGUGAGGAAACUCAUACAAUAUGAAGGUGUGUACAAUUAGAUUGUAAGGAACUAAGAUUGUAAGGAACUAUCCUUUUAUGUUGAAAUGCAAAUCUACAAAUGACUAGUGUUAAAUAUAUGUAAAACGAAAGUAUAGCCAUACUGUGUUAAAUAUAUGUAAAGUGAAAAUAGUACUAUUUACAUAGUGUGCUCAAGAUUACUAAAGUAACUAAAUGUGUAUAUAUAUACAUGUCAUUGUGUAUUUGUGUUGAAAUUAUGUACAUGUAAUUAGAUAAUAAUAUUAAUUAGUUUAUGAGACAUAAAAGAAUGUAUGGUCCAAAUGUGUUAUCAGAAAUUUGUUGUAUUUUGAUAUAGUUCCAAUCACCUUCCAUCACCUUAAAGGUAACAUGUACUGUAUAUUUGCAGUGUCCUUUUUAACUAUGUUUUAAAGGUAAGGCACACAUUUACAAAUAAUUUUACUUCUAAUAUGUUUGUUAUUUUUUGUGAAGGUUAAUAACUGAGAAACACAAGGACUGCAUGCACAUCAAUUCCCAACCCACACUCCAUAUACAUGUGUUAUAUUCAGUACAUAUAUAUGGUCUUAGGUUGGGAAUUCAUGCCAAGUCCCUGGGCUGGGAAAUUAUGUUGGUUCCAUUAAACUCCAUAUUUUAUAUGAUUUAUCAUAACCCGAUAUAAUUUAUUGUAGACUGAUUUCAUAAGAGUUGUUGUAUUAGCCGUUAAAAUGCUCCUAUAUGCAAGAUAACAUGUACAUUUAUGUAAUUGUAAAAAUCUGUUUGAACAUAGGGAGACAAUGAAGUCCUACAAUAUAAGAAGGGUUCAUAUUGUGAUUUUAGAUUGGAUGUUAACAUUCUUGUUAGUUGUUGAAGACUUUUGAGGUUCGACAAAUAAUAAAAAUAUAAAUAUCCGAUGAUAAACAUUUAUAAAAAUCAGAUAUGAGCCUUUGAAAUUUGAUAAUAGGACUAGGAGGGGAUGUUAGAUUACAUGUGUUUCUGUCUCGUUGUCCGGUCCAUUCCAAUAGAUAUAAAGGUAAACUGUGAUUUUGUACCUGGAUUAGUUUUCUGACCACCUAUUGCUGUUAGAGGAUACAACAGUAUUAAUUCCCGUUAAGUCUAUAAAGUUUCUUAUCCAUUCCAACUUACAAGCUAAUUAAAGACUUUUGUAGAAAUAGUAAAUAGUGUGGAAAAUGAUAUAGCAACAAGGUGAUUAUGUUAGGUAUGUUCUAGUUCCUGUAACUUAAAUCAGUUAUCACACAAUUUCAAUAAAAGUUAGGUCUUUUUUGCAAACAAUUCUUUAAAAAAAAGAACCCCCAAAGUAAACAACUUUUUGAAACUAGUGAACAAAGUGAUGUCGUUUUAUAUGAAAUUCGAUUAAAUUAUCACACAGUUCUGGUUCAAAACUAUCGAUAGAUAUUAAUUUUAAUAUGAUCCAGAUAGCCUAAGCUUCCUCUGGUCCGAAAACAAGAUGCUGGACAUUGAAGAUAUUUUUCUAUAAAUAUUUCUAUAAAAAUGUCUAAUAUCUGGAGUUGGGGCCAGAGGAAACUUAGGAUACACAACCAGGAAAGAGACACAAAAAACACCAAAGGACAGGAGAGCUUAUGUUGUAUACAGAAUCAUCAAAUUUGUUUUAAGAAUCAAUUAUACUAUGAUACAGUAUAAGGUAUUUAAUUUAUCUUACAUCAGAGCAAUGCUACACAGCUUUUGGUUCCGCGCAGUUAAAACAAAACUCAUGUUCAGGCUUGAAAUAUAUAAAAAGAACAAGUAUGGUUGGUGGAUUUGAGCAAAUUAUCACAUCAUUGUAAAUAAAUUUUAUAUUUACACAGGU